AGAGAUGUAACUCAGUGGUAGAGGGCUUGCCUAGUAUGAGUAAAACUCUGGGUUCAAUACCUAGCACCUCAA
rnacentral:tRNA from 1 species